rnacentral:rRNA from 1 species
UAGGUUCGGAAUAACAGCUGGAAACGGCUGCUAAUACCGGAUGAUAUCGCGAGAUCAAAGAUUUAUCGCCUGAGGAUGAGCCCGCGUUGGAUUAGGUAGUUGGUGGGGUAAAGGCCUACCAAGCCGACGAUCCAUAGCUGGUCUGAGAGGAUGAUCAGCCACACUGGGACUGAGACACGGCCCAGACUCCUACGGGAGGCAGCAGUGGGGAAUAUUGGACAAUGGGCGAAAGCCUGAUCCAGCAAUGCCGCGUGAGUGAUGAAGGCCCUAGGGUUGUAAAGCUCUUUUACCCGGGAAGAUAAUGACUGUACCGGGAGAAUAAGCCCCGGCUAACUCCGUGCCAGCAGCCGCGGUAAU